GCUUGUAGCCGAGGAACGUCCUCUGCUCACAGGACCUCCUCGUGGCCUUUUAGGCCCUCAAAUAAAUCAUACUUCACCGUCGUGGCUCGACCUCCCCGGAUUCCCGAGCAAUGGAGGAUCAGCCGGAACGACACCCCCUAGUCAGCUGACGUCGGCAGGCGCCAGUCAUCCUAGUCCUUGAGUCUCAGGACUCUCCUAGUCGACCUUCUUCUAGUCAAACCUCCAUUAGUCAGGAGUUGAGUCUUCGGACGGCGGGAUCAACCGCUUCCCGCCUGUCCACAGCCCUUUUGGGUGCAGCUUCAAGCCUUCUUCUAGUCGCCCUCGAGGCAGCCGUGCUGAGGAAAUGGAAUCGCAAGUGUUAGGCGAGUCGAGUGUUAGCUGUGCGUCUCGUGAGUUCGGAAUGAGUAUGCCCCCUUCUUCGAGAACGUCGGCCGUCACCCAGACCGCUGCGCAUCUGUGCAGGUCUCCAGGACACCUCUUCGUAGUCAGUGCAACAUGUUAGUCGUCUGCUGCCCCUCCAUAACCACUUAGUCGUCGGAGGGGCUAGUGCUUAGUCGCAGUUAUCCAGUGAAGAACGACCCAAGAACGUAGUCAAAGAACUCCCCGAUCAACCCGUUCCAGCUGCUGCUGUCAAGUCGCUGGGCAAGUCAGUGAUCUCCGGGAGAUAGUCAGCCCUAGUCUACCGAUCUACCAGUCUACCUGUAGUUUGUAAGAGGACGAGUCUACCCACCGUAGAUGGACCACCAGUUCGUCUCCAAAGAUCUCAUCAGUACUAUCUACCAGUAGUAGUACUUUGGUAUAUUAACUGCUGGGUAUUCCAGUCUCCAGUCUCCAGUAUUAGUUUACUGUUCAGUAUUCAAAGUAGCAUUAGAUAUUACUACCAAAGAUUAUUUUUUUAGAUUAUUUAAGAGCCAGUUACCAAAAGUAGUCCAUAAGAGCUAGUAUCCAAAGUUUUGUUUACCAAAGAUGAGUUACUAGCAUUAGUCAGCUAGUUCUCUUUCACUAGUCACUAUAGUUAUUAUAAUGUUCACCACACCAAAGAUCACUGUAGGUUAGUAAAUAGCACAAAAACUAAAAAAAAA